AAUGAACGUUGGCGGCGUGGAUUAGGCAUGCAAGUCGUGCGCGAACUGUAGCAAUACAGGGAGAGCGGCGAAAGGGAGAGUAAUACAUAGGUACCUACCCCCGGGCCUGGGAUAGCGGCGGGAAACUGCCGGUAAUACCAGAUAAUGUCCCCGGACCAAAGACGUGAUUUCACCUGGGGAGAGGCCUAUGGCCUAUCAGCUUGUUGGCAGGGUAACGGCCUACCAAGGCAAAGACGGGUAUGGGGCGUGAGAGCGUGCCCCCACUCACUGGGACUGAGACACUGCCCAGACACCUACGGGUGGCUGCAGUCGAGAAUCUUCGGCAAUGGGCGCAAGCCUGACCGAGCGACGCCGCGUGCGGGAUGAAGGCCUUCGGGUUGUAAACCGCUGUCGUAGGGGAGGAAGGGCCUGUGAAGAACAGGACUUGACCGAUCCUAGGAGGAAGGGCCGGCUAAUCUCGUGCCAGCCGCCGCAGUAAGAC
rnacentral:rRNA from 1 species